rnacentral:rRNA from 1 species
GACGAACGCUGGCGGCGUGCCUAAUACAUGCAAGUCGAACGAACUCUGGUAUUGAUUGGUGCUUGCAUCAUGAUUUACAUUUGAGUGAGUGGCGAACUGGUGAGUAACACGUAGGAAACCUGCCCAGAAGCGGGGGAUAACACCUGGAAACGAGAUGCUAAUACCGCAUAACAACUUGGACCGCAUGGCCCGAGUUUGAAAGAUGGCUUCGGCUAUC